rnacentral:snRNA from 1 species
AAACUCACCUGGCAGAGGAGAUACUAUAAUCAAGAAGGUGGAUUUUCCCAGGGUGAGGCUCAACCAUGACCUUUGGGAUGCGCUGACGCCUACUAUUUCUCCAAACAUGGGAAAUUCAACUAUAGAAUUUAUGAUAAUGGGGGACUGUGUUUAAAAUCUCCCCUA